rnacentral:rRNA from 2 species
UGAGGAAUAUUGGUCAAUGGGCGAGAGCCUGAACCAGCCAAGUCGCGUGAGGGAAGACGGCCCUACGGGUUGUAAACCUCUUUAGUCUGGGAGCAAAAAGUGGGAUGUAUCCUAUAUUGAGCGUACCAGAAGAAUAAGCAUCGGCUAACUCCGUGCCAGCAGCCGCGGUAAUACGGAGGAUGCGAGCGUUAUCCGGAUUUAUUGGGUUUAAAGGGUGCGUAGGCGGUUUGUUAAGUCAGCGGUUAAAUGUCUGGGCUCAACCUAGGCCUGCCGUUGAAACUGAUGGACUGGAGUUGGAGUGGAGCAUGCGGAAUGCGCAGUGUAGCGGUGAAAUGCAUAGAUAUUGCGCAGAACUCCGAUCGCGAAGGCAGCGUGCUAACUCCAUACUGACGCUGAGGCACGAAAGCGCGGGUAUCGAACAGG